ACGUUUCAUCUACUCCUCAUCUUCAUCUGUGACAAAUUUACCAGUUCCAGGAUUCAAUGCGGCAACAAAGAAGAAGAUAACGUUGAACAGCACAAGUGGUUCGAUUUCGUUGAUGGGGAUCCCAGUCUCAAUGUUGAGUUGUGCUAGAGCUCCUUUCCCUGUUAUGAUUUCUCCAAUCAAAGAGAAUGCAAUACCCAACUGAGCCAAUCUUCCCACAAACAGCUCGUUUGACUUCGUGAAUCCAAAUAUGGGACCUUCCACAUUCAAACAGCAAAUAUAUAUUACUCUUGACUUCAUCAAAUCGUGAUUCAUGAAAGCAGGCUACUUAAGAGAACUGUAGUAGUGGUAAUAAUGGUUUAUUAAAUUGAGCCCCACUGCUCAUUAAAAAUGCUGGUUUUUUCUUUUUUCUUUUUUCUUUUUUAAUUGUGGGAAUUUUUAACAUUUUUGUGCUGGUGUCUACCACAAGCCUACUAGUAUUAAGGUAGUGUUUACUUUCUGGAGUGGAAGUGUGGAGUGUGGAUUCCUCCCACUCCAGUGUUUACUUGCCUUAAAAAAGGGGGAGUGGGAGUGGGAAUCCGUGGGUCCCACUCAAUUUUGGAGUGGGGAGUGGGAUUCCCACUCCCAUGGGGGGAGGUGGGAGUGGGAAUCCACUCCCCCCUCUUCCCAUUUUAUCCUUAUAAAAAUAAAUAAAUAAAUAAAUAAAUAAUAUUUAAUAAAAUAAAUAAUAUCAUAUUUAAUAAAAUAAAUAAUAUCAUAUUUAUUAAAAAUAAUAAUUAUAUCAUAUUUAUUUUAUUAAAUUUAAUAUUUUAUUCACAUAAUUUAAAUUAAAAUUAAUAAAAAAUUAUGAUUUACAUAAUUAAGAAUAUUAGUAAUUAUUAUUAAUUUAUAAAUAUAAUAAAAUAUUUAUUUUAUUUUCCAAAUAUAUUUUUUAUUAAUUUUUUAAUUACAAAUUAUAAUUAUGUACAUAAGGAUAAAAUUGUAAUUUAAAACAAUUUACUCCCAAUCCAAGACAAAGUAAACAAAAAAUUAGGAUUCUGAUUGACAAUCCAUACUUUCAUUUAGUCUAAGUAAACACCCUACUCCCACUCCCACUCCACACUCCUAAUCCAAGAAUUCCCACUCCUCAGGAUUCCCACUCUAAUCCAAAAAGUAAACGCAGCAUAAUUCUAUUACAUACCACCGUUCAAAAUUCUUUACUCAUUUAGAGCCGCAUUUACUCUCAAGUAUUGGUAUGUGUAUUUUCUGUCAGAUAUUAAAUAAUAAUUAAUUUUUAACCCCAUCACUAAUGUAUUAAUUAUUAAUGCCAAGACACAUUAGAUGUCAACACACAAAUUUAGUAUCCCAACUUUAUAAACACUGCAUCACUCAUUAUAAAUUCAUAAACUGAAAAGGUUAAUAAACACAAUAGGCAGGGAACUAGGGAAUUGGAAUUACCUCCUUCCUUGAGACCCAAUGCUGAUCUCAAGCCUUUGCCUGGAGGAAUGACAGCUCCUCCGAGCCCAGUGGGCUCAUCUGGCUCAUCAACGAACUUACCACGGUCACCCAAAGCUCCAAUUGCUCCAAGCAAGGUGAACAGGAUGAAAAAUAAAAGCAGUGGCUCUGCUUCAUAGAUUGGAAUUCCGGUCUCCAAAUUCAACUGAGCUAGAAUCCCCUUCCCAGUUAUUCCCUCACCCAACAAGGAAGCCUACACAAAACAUAGCUUGCUAAUUAAUUAAUAAAACCCUUGGAAAAUAUGAUCUUAACAGAAGUUUAAUUUUCCUUUUUCUCUCCUAGAUUUUUCAAGUCUACUCGGCCUCCGUCCGAAUUGUGGUACAAAUCCUAAAGGAAGCCUGGAAGCCUUCAAGAAAAAUGAUAAAUCUAAAUCUAACUGAUAUAUGUACAAUUUUGAUGAGCAAAGAGACAGAUGUUGUUUUCAGUAUAGAAUUUGGAAAAAAGUAGUUGAGUACUCACAGCAAAGCCAAUCAUGGCAACACGACCAACAAAGAGCUCAUUUUGCUUUGUAAAACCAAAUCCUCCAGAGGUCCCAAAGAUACCAUCCUCAACUUUUGGCUUUGAUUCAACCUGUAAGUUUAAAUUAAAAUAUACCCAUAAACAACUAGCUAAGGGCCAAUAUUAAAUCAAAACAAUCUUACCAACAAUAAAAACGGAAACAAGAAAACCAAAUUAAACCUUCUUGGUCUUGGGUGGAGCUUUGGUUUUAGAUUUGAAGAG
rnacentral:lncRNA from 1 species